rnacentral:piRNA from 1 species
UUACACUAACAGCAGGCCAAA